rnacentral:rRNA from 1 species
GACGAACGCUGGCGGCGUGCCUAAUACAUGCAAGUAGGACGCAGUUGCGAACGGGUGAGUAACGCGUAGGUAACUGCCUAUUAGAGGGGGAUAACUAUUGGAAACGAUAGCUAAUACCGCAUACUAGUAGAUGGACCUGCGUUGUAUUAGCUAGUAGGUAGGGUAAUGGACUACCUAGGCGACGAUACAUAGACGACCUGGUAGGGUGAUCGGCCACACUGGGACUUGGAAACGGCCCAGACUCCUACGGGAGGCAGCAGGAGGGAAUCUUCGGCAAUGGGGGGAACCCUGACCGGGCAACGCCGCGGGAGUGAAGAAGGUUGUCGGGUCGUAAAGCUCUGUUGUUAAGGAAGCGGUACUUAACCAGAAAGGGACGGCUAACUACGUGCCAGCAGCCGCGGUAAUAC